AGACCUCAAGGCCUUUUCAGUGACUGAUUUCCCUCCUUCUGACGUUUUCUCUGCAGUGACCUCUACCCUUCACCUGACAGGACAAAGUGGGAAUCACCAGAUGUAGCCCAGCAAUAAGUGAUCCCACCGAAGUCAAAGGGAGCUGCAGUGUGCUUGAGAACAGAAUCUGUCCCCAAGUUAACUCACCUCUUCUGGUCUCUGUUGGUGAUUUUAUAAAAAGUGUUCUGCAAAUUGUGCAGGCUGGGACUGGUCUGUUCAG
rnacentral:lncRNA from 1 species